CGGGAAUACGCAGAGCUGGCUGAGGAGUUUGCUGAUUCAGUAACAGUCAUGGCCAAAAGGAUCUUCUCUGUUGUUCAAGACCCAUAAUCCAGUAGUUUUGAUAUUCAGGGAUGGGGCAUUGGUGCAGAGUUCUCAGGACACUCACACGGGAGUCUUACGUCCGAGUUGGGCAUUUCAUCCACACAAGGGUGGCUUUCAGUCAAUUAUUCCUGAAGUAACUGGAGACCCUGCUUGGGACUGUGAUCUGCUUUCAUUUUGGGUGCUUCAGAUCUGAAACACGAGUCUUCAGUACGAAGUUACUGGUAGUUGAUUAUGCUGCCCUGCAUCCCGCAAAAGGAAAACAAGAUUUCCACUAUAGCCCUGGCAACGCCGUGGAUCUGGGGAAUCUGUGUGGGCGAAUGGUGAAAAUUAAGCAUGUUCUGUUGGUCAUUCAACACAGUCUUGG
rnacentral:lncRNA from 1 species